CCCCUGGAGGUCCCCUGGCUAUUUCAACCUUUUGGUUGGGAACACUGAUUGACCAAUAAACCAUCUUCCAUAUAACUGGGCUAUAAAAUUAAGUCACAUCAGAACUAGCCAUGGCUCCUGACUACAAGACCCAUAGAGUCCAGGAAAUCCUACUGGCCAGUUCUGGGCAUGACCCUUAUCUGCCAACUCCUCUGAGUAAUGAAGAUGCAGAAAUUCCCUAUCUCUUGAAUUCCUGAAGAGAAUGACACAGUAGUUUCUUCAUGCUUCGACCUUAAAGACUUCCUAAAAGACA